rnacentral:rRNA from 1 species
AACGAACGCUGGCGGCGCGCCUAAUACAUGCAAGUCGAGCGAGAAGACGUAGCAAUACGUUUGUAAAGCGGCGAACGGGUAAGGAAUACAUGGGUAACCUACCCUCGAGUGGGGAAUAACUAGCCGAAAGGUUAGCUAAUACCGCGUACGCUCCUUGGACUUCGGUUCAGGGAGGAAAGCGAUACCGUGGUAUCGCGCUCUUGGAUGGGCUCAUGUCCUAUCAGCUUGUUGGUGAGGAACGGCUCACCAAGGCUUCGACGGGUAGCUGGUCUGAGAGGACGAUCAGCCACACUGGCACUGCGACACGGGCCAGACUCCUACGGGAGCAGCAGUAAGGAAUAUGCGCAAUGGGCGAAAGCCUGACGCAGCGACGCCGCGUGGGGGAU